UCUCUGUUAGUAUAUCGGUUAGUACACGCGCCUGUCAUCAGUAAUGAUCGCGCGAAAGCGGGGUUCGACUCCCCGACAGAGAG
rnacentral:tRNA from 1 species